rnacentral:misc_RNA from 1 species
UAUCCGUAGGUGAACCUGCGGAAGGAUCAUUAUCGAAUUGUAAUAGGGGUUGAUGCUGGCAAGCUAAAAAAAAUUUUUGGGUUGCACAUGUGCUCGCUCCUAACAAUCUUCUAUCUCAAACACCCGUGCACCUUUUUGAGAGGGGUUUUCUAAGCAUGUUGCUGCUUUUUUUUUUUUUUAACCCCCCUCUUCCCCUUACAUAUACACUGUUUUCAAUGUUGAACGUGAAUUGUGCCAGUAAAAGGCCUUAAUAAAAUACAACUUUUAACAACGGAUCUCUUGGCUCUC